rnacentral:rRNA from 1 species
UACGUAGGGUGCGAGCGUUAAUCGGAAUUACUGGGCGUAAAGCGUGCGCAGGCGGUGAUGUAAGACAGUUGUGAAAUCCCCGGGCUCAACCUGGGAACUGCAUCUGUGACUGCAUCGCUGGAGUGCGGCAGAGGGGGAUGGAAUUCCGCGUGUAGCAGUGAAAUGCGUAGAUAUGCGGAGGAACACCGAUGGCGAAGGCAGCCUUCUGGGCCAACACUGACGCUCAUGCACGAAAGCGUGGGGAGCAAACAGG